GGGGAAUAUUGCACAAUGGGGGAAACCCUGAUGCAGCGACGCCGCGUGAGUGAAGAAGUAUUUCGGUAUGUAAAGCUCUAUCAGCAGGGACGAAUAAAUGACGGUACCUGACUAAGAAGCCCCGGCUAACUACGUGCCAGCAGCCGCGGUAAUACGUAGGGGGCAAGCGUUAUCCGGAUUUACUGGGUGUAAAGGGAGCGUAGACGGUGAUGUAAGUCAGAUGUGAAAGCCCGGGGCUCAACCCCGGGACUGCAUUUGAAACUAUGUUGCUAGAGUGCAGGAGAGGUAAGUGGAAUUCCUAGUGUAGCGGUGAAAUGCGUAGAUAUCAGGAGGAACACCAGUGGCGAAGGCGGCUUACUGGACUGUAACUGACGCUGAGGCACGAAAGCAUGGGUAGCAAAC
rnacentral:rRNA from 1 species